rnacentral:misc_RNA from 1 species
AGAGUAUAUCAGAAGGAAUCAACUAGACGCUGGAUUUCCUCUUUUUGAAACUGAGUCUCUGAAGUGGCCCGGUUUUGUUGAAUUUGAUGAUGUCAACGGCAAAGUUUUGACCUAUUCAGCCCAGGAUGGUAUCUACAAAGUCUUCGAUCUGAGAAACUACAACUAUUUGUACUCAAUAUCCGAUAAAAACAUCCAGGAAAUUAAAAUCAGUCCGGGAAUCAUGCUGUUAAUAUUCAACCGAACUCAGAGUUCUGUUCCGCUGAAGAUACUCUCUAUUGAAGAUGGGAUAGAGUU